AAAUGAAUUGACGGGUCCCCGCACAAGCGGCGGAGCAUGCGGCUUAAUUCGAUGCAACCCGAAGAACCUUACCUGGGCUUGACAUCACGGGAAAAGCCGUAGAAAUACGGUGUCCGUAAGGGCCCGUGACAGGUGGUGCAUGGCUGUCGUCAGCUCGUGUCGUGAGAUGUUGGGUUAAGUCCCGCAACGAGCGCAACCCUCGUCCCAUGUUGCCAGCACGUAAUGGUGGGGACUCAUGGGAGACUGCCGGGGACAACUCGGAGGAAGGUGAGGACGACGUCAAGUCAUCAUGCCCCUUAUGCCCAGGGCUGCACGCAUGCUACAAUGGCCGGUACAAUGGGCUGCGAACCCGCGAGGGGGAGCUAAUCCUCAAAGCCGGCCUCAGUUCGGAUUGGAGUCUGCAACUCGACUCCAUGAAGCCGGAGUCGCUAGUAAUCGCGGAUCAGCAAAGCCGCGGUGAAUACGUUCUCGGGGAUUGUACACACCGCCCGU
rnacentral:rRNA from 1 species